GACGAACCGUGCGAACGUUGUUCGGAAUCACUGGGCUUAAAGGGCGCGUAGGCGGGCCACCAAGUCUGGGGUGAAAGCCCCCGGCUCAACCGGGGAAUUGCCUGGGAUACUGGUGGUCUGGAGGGAGGUAGGGGCAGUGGGAACUUCCGGUGGAGCGGUGAAAUGCGUUGAUAUCGGAAGGAACGCCGGUGGCGAAAGCGCACUGCUGGACCUCUUCUGACGCUGAGGCGCGAAAGCCAGGGGAGCGAACGGG
rnacentral:rRNA from 1 species